CCAAAGUAUAAAAGAAAAUCUAGCCCCCUCUUCGGGGCCGAGAGAAUUUUGAGCAUUAGCCGUCUCUUGGCCGCUGGCUAAAUAAACGGUCUCUCAAUUCCUCUCAAAGUGUGGCGUUUUCUCUAACUCACUCAAGUACAACAUUUGGAGGCCCCAGUGAGAUAUUAAUGCCACCGGGCAAGAGCCGGUUUUGCUCCAGGCUCCCCCGGAAGGACGGCUGGCUCGGAGGGGGAGCGCCACCUAAGAAUUUUCAGGUCCCCAAAGAGUAACCGUCUUCCGGAGGAGAGCGGAUUGACUACCAUGUGGGUGCCCUAAAAUUCAACAUCUGAGUCCUCAGCUUCUGACCCCGGGGUCAGUCUCCCCAACAGGUACAAGACAUCAUCCUGCCACUUGUUCGAGGAGCCCAUCCCAAUCCAAUUCCUGACCAGACGGGGUCCUGCCAUUCAUUCCAGCCAAGAGACCUAGUGUUUGUUAAAAAGUUCCAGAAAGAAGGACUCACUCCUGCUUAGAAAAGACCUCACACCAUCAUCCUCACAAUGCCAACAGCUCUGAAGCUAAAAGUUGAAGCUCCACCUGGUGAAAUAAUUGGAUAUGUUUAUCAAUACUUUCACCCAUUCUUGCCAAAGUUCAAAAUAAAAAAUGAGAAUAAGGAGGAGGUAAUGAAAAUUAUAGGCCCAUGGUUGGUCUUCAGCUGUCUCGGGGAUCUAAAUUUUAAUUUAUUGACUCUGGAUGAGGAAAUGGUUAUUGGAAAGAUUUCAAAACAGUACUCUGGAUUUGUAAGGGGAAUAUUAACCAAUGGUGAGAAAUUUGGGAUCCAGUUUCCAUUUGAUCUUGAUGUUAAAAUUAAAGCAUUGAUGCUUGGAGCAACUUUCCUCAUUGAAUACAUGUAUUUUGAACUGUGGCCAUAAGAAUUACCCUGAAAGAAUAUGUCAAAGAUUACUGGCGUUUAUUUUUGCCAGCCCUCAACAAAAC
rnacentral:lncRNA from 1 species